GACGUAGGGCGCGAGCGUUGUCCGGAUUUAUUGGGCGUAAAGAGCUCGUAGGCGGCUUGUCGCGUCGUCCGUGAAAACCUGCAGCUCAACUGCAGGCUUGCGGUCGAUACGGGCAGGCUAGAGUUCGGUAGGGGAGACUGGAAUUCCUGGUGUAGCGGUGAAGUGCGCAGAUAUCAGGAGGAACACCGGUGGCGAAGGCGGGUCUCUGGGCCGAUACUGACGCUGAGGAGCGAAAGCGUGGGGAGCGAACAGG
rnacentral:rRNA from 1 species